CUUAUUCAAUAAUAUAAAACCCUUGUAAAACCCUAUUCUAUUGGAUCUCAGAUCAUCAAUUGGCGCCGUCUGUGGGAAACGAAGGAGAUCUUUUCAUCACCGGAGUUUUCACUUUCAAAACCCACUGAGAUCCACGAUGGCAAACCACCAAGAAAGUAACCUUAAUAUUCCAAAUGACCUGAGCUCUGCCCAAGAGGGGCAGCAGUUCUCCUUUUCUAGCCCUACAACGUUGAAUAACCAAACACCUAUUUCUCUUAAUCCCUCGCCAAGCUUGGCAGGGAAUACUCCCACCAUGACCCUAUCUAACCAAGAUAUUCAAACCAUGGCUCUCCAACUACAAACCACUGCUCACUGGUUGGGGCAGAUAAUGCAACAAAGGGGACUUAGCACCCCAGUAAACGCACUCCCAGUAGUGGAGGAACCCAGAACCGAUGAACCCCAACCUACCUCUGCCCGCCUCCAAACUAACAACCACGAUGCCGGAGAAGAGGAAGAACCGGAGGCCCGAAUCCAUGGGAGAAGGGCAAGAGAGUUGAUAGAAAAUGAAGAGGUGGACGACUAUUCUGCUGAAACAACCAGGGAAACGGGAACUGAAACAGAGGAGGAAGAAUGUAGUUUGGGCAAAAGAUCCAGCCCGGAAGACGAGAAAAUGAACCAAAAGCUGAAAAGGUUGAAGGAGCAGCUCCUAGCCGAGCUAGGUAAGAAAGAUCAGAGUCAAACCUCCUUGCCUACUUCUUCUCCCUUCUCAAAGUUAAUGCAGCAGGAGACCGUUCCCAAAAAGUUUAUGAUGCUGCCGAUGGCGGCCUAUAAUGGGGCUGGUAACCCGAGAGAGCAUGUCAUGAACUAUAAGACCUUCAUGGAGUUGCAAACUCUGUCAGAUGCUCUGAUGUGCAAGGUGUUCCCAACAACGCUCUCGGGACCAGCGAGUGCAUGGUUCAACAGCCUGGAGGCCGGAAGCAUUAAAAGUUUCGGAGAUCUUGCCACCCGCUUCAUUAGCCGGUUCGUAGCCGGGGUGCCAGCAGAUAGGAAGACGAGCUAUCUGGAAACAGUGAGACAAAAAGCUGGUGAAUCCCUCAGAGAGUAUGUCGCUCGUUUCAAUACGGAGGCCCUGCAGAUUCCCGAGCUUGACGAAGGAAGGGCGGUAGAGGCCAUGCAAAAGGGAACAACCUCUGCCGAGUUCUUUGGUUCUCUGAGCAGGAAACCUCCGACCUCACUGGCCGAGUUGAUGAAGAGGGCGGAAAAGUAUAUAAGGCAGGAUGACGCCUUAGUAACGAGUAGAUUUGCCAAAGGGGUGGCAGGAAAAGAGAAAGCCCCGGAGGAGGGGAGGCCGGAGAAACACGAGAAGAAGCGUGGAAAGAGGCCUGAGCCGUACAAGCAGGCCUGGGAAAGAAGGGAUCAAAGGCCUCCCCCUCCUCCCAGGGCUCAUGAACCAAGAGUGCUCCCUCCUUGGGUCCCGGAGAAACCGACUCCAUUAAAUGCGUCCAGAGCCGAGGUGCUCAUGGCUGUCCAGGAUAAGGAGUUUCUCCAGUGGCCCAAACCUUUGAAGUCGGAAGCAGAUCAGAGGAAUCCUGACAAGUAUUGUCAGUACCACCGGACGCAUGGCCACGAUACAAAUAACUGUUUUCAGUUAAUCGCGGAGAUUGAAAGAUUGAUAAAAAGGGGGCAUCUCAAAAAUUUUGUGAAGAAACCGGAGGGGCAGAGGCCUCAACCCGGUCCGGCAGCCCAGAUGCCCAGGAGAACUGGAGCUGGACCAGUGAAUGAUGGGUCCAGUGGGACUAUUAAUAUGAUUGUUGGAGGAACUGGAGGACGGAUGAACCGUCGAGGAAAGAAGAGAAACCGGGAAGGGGAGACCAGCAAUGGCGAGGUUAUGCAGAUCGUUGAACACUCUCCCAUGACCAUCGCUUUCUCUUCGGAAGAUGCACAGGGCAUUCAGAUGCCCCAUGAUGACGCGCUUGUCAUUGAAGCAGUCAUUCAUAAUUUUCGGGUGAAGAAGGUUCUGGUGGAUGAUGGGAGUAAGGUCAAUUUAUUGCCAUAUCGGGUUUUCCAGCAGAUGGGAAUCCCAGAGGAACAGCUGGUUCGGGACCAGUCACCCAUCAAAGGGAUCGGAGGAGCACCGGUACUUGUAGAAGGGAAGGUGAAGCUGGCCCUUACCUUGGGAGAAGCACCCAGAGCUCGCACCCAUCAUGAGGUGUUUUUGGUGGUCAAACUCCCACUGAGCUACAAUGCGAUUUUGGGGAGGCCGGCGUUGUUCAACUUUGAAGCUGUCACUAGCAUCAGGUAUUUGGCACUCAAGUUCCCAACGGAAGAAGGAGUGGGAAUGGUCCGGGGCAGCCAGGAAGAAGCAAGGGCGGUAUACUUGGCCACAGUAACAGAGCCAAGCUCAACUGGAGAAGCACUUGACUCGGAAGUUCUGGAGGUCAGAGAUGAAACAAAAGAGGCCCGGACAGAGCCAGUCGGAGAGUUGGAGACUUUCCCCUUAUCAGAAGCAGAUGCAAGCAAGGUCUUCAGUUUUAAUGCCAGCCUCACCAAAGAACAAAAAGGUGAAGUCAUGACCCUGAUCCGAGGUCACGCGCCGACCUUCGCAUGGAAGCCCUCAGACAUGCUGGGAAUUGACCCCAAAGUGAUGACACACCGAUUGAAUGUCCUCCCCGAGGCCAGACCAGUAAAGCAAAAGAAGAGAGUAGCGGGAAGAGAGAAGCAGCAGGCUACCCAGGAAGAAGUGCAGAAGCUAGAAGAGACAGGCUUUAUUAGGGAGGUUAUGUACCCACAGUGGUUGGCAAAUCCUGUGUUAGUCAAAAAAGCCAAUGGCAAAUACAGGAUGUGUAUAGAUUUUACCGACCUGAAUAAGGCCUGCCCUAAAGAUUGUUACCCCCUCCCCGAUAUUAAUAAGAUGGUCGACUCAAGGGCCGGUUUUGAUUAUAUGUCUUCUUUGGAUGCUAUGUCUGGUUACCACCAAAUCCCAAUGGAAAAGACGGAUGAGGAGAAUACCUCAUUUAUAACUGAAGAUGGGACUUACUGCUACAGAGCUAUGCCCUUCGGAUUAAGAAACGCCGGGGCAACUUACCAACGAUUAAUGAAUAAAAUCUUUAAGAACCAGAUCGGCAGGAAUGUAGAAGCAAUAGCUAAUGCCAUCAGGACCCCUGCCACUCCUCAAGCAAGCAUAUCCAGUCCAUGGCCUUUCUCACAAUGGGGAAUUGACAUCCUGGGACCUUUCCCCAAGACUACGGGGCAAAGGAAAUUCGUAGUGGUGGCUGUGGAAUAUUUCUCGAAAUGGCCAGAGGCAGAAGCAAUAGCCACAAUCACAGCUCGCAAGAUGAUAGAUUUCGUAUGGGGACAUAUCAUCUGCAGAUUUGGCAUACCAAGAGUACUUAUCUCAGACAACGGCAGACAAUUUGACUGCAGCACUUUCAGAGCCUUCACGACGAACAUGGGCAUAUGGCAUAAGUUCUCCUCCGUGGCUCAUCCUCAGACUAAUGGCCAAACGGAAGUCACUAAUAGAGCUAUCCUUCAAGGAUUAAAGAAACGGCUGGAUGGCGCAAAGGAGAAUUGGGCAGAAGAACUCAAUAGCACUCUAUGGGCACUCCGAACCACUCCCAGCGCGCCCACUCAAGAAACCCCGUUUGCACUUGCUUAUGGCACAGAGGCUGUAGUCCCAGUUGAGUUGCAGAUCCCCACUCAUCGAGUUCAAUUCGUUAGUGAGAACGCUAAUGGGGACAAAUUAAGGAGCAACCUAGAUGCUCUUGAAGAAGUUAGGAAAGAAGCCCAAGUCCGAACUGCUGCUUAUCAACAACGAGCGGCAAGAUAUUACAAUUAAAAGGUCAGAGAAAGAAGCUUGAAGGUGGGAGACCUGACUUUAAGAAACCUGGAAGCUACAGGAAAAAGAGCAGCCGCAGGCAAGCUAGCACCGACCUGGGAAGGUCCAUUCAAGGUGACAAAAGUGGUUAAGCCCGGGGUAUACUGAAUUGAAGAUAUGCAAGGAAACCCCGAGCCCCACGCUUGGAACAUCCAGCACUUAAAAAGGUAUUUCCCUUGAAAUAUUUGUAAAGAAAAACAUUGUAUUUUGACAAAUAUGAAUAAAUGAAAAUUGUUUAUACAAUGUGAUUAUCUUUGUGAAAAACAUUUUUCCAUGAAAAAGAAAGAACAGGGCUCAGAAAGAUCCCUUGAAAACGAGACCUCAGUUAGGCACAAAAACCAGCUGAGAUAACGAAGCGACAGUAAGGCCAAUGAGCCUGAAUCUUGUACAAAACCCCAAAGUAAGUACCAAAGACAACCGGCGAGGCCCCGAGGUCGUCCCGGAAAUUCAAAGAAAACCAGGAUCCCGUAAGAUCUCCUGGAAACAAAAA
rnacentral:lncRNA from 1 species